UACGGAGGGGGCUAGCGUUGUUCGGAAUUACUGGGCGUAAAGCGCACGUAGGCGGAUGGACAAGUCAGAGGUGAAAUCCCAGGGCUCAACCUUGGAACUGCCUUUGAAACUUUCCAUCUUGAGGUCGAGAGAGGUGAGUGGAAUUCCGAGUGUAGAGGUGAAAUUCGUAGAUAUUCGGAGGAACACCAGUGGCGAAGGCGGCUCACUGGCUCGAUACUGACGCUGAGGUGCGAAAGCGUGGGGAGCAAACAGGAUUAGAAACCCUCGUAGUCC
rnacentral:rRNA from 1 species